UCGCUUGAUUGAUUUUUUGGGGGA
rnacentral:piRNA from 1 species